rnacentral:rRNA from 1 species
UGCCAGCCGCCGCGGUAAUACGGAGGGGGCUAGCGUUGUUCGGAAUCACUGGGCGUAAAGCGCACGUAGGCUGGCUGGUCAGUUGAGGGUGAAAUCCCAAGGCUCAACCUUGGAACUGCCCUCAAUACUACCAGUCUCGAGUCCGGGAGAGGUGAGUGGAAUUCCUAGUGUAGAGGUGAAAUUCGUAGAUAUUAGGAAGAACACCAGUGGCGAAGGCGGCUCACUGGCCCGGUACUGACGCUGAGGUGCGAAAGCGUGGGGAGCAAACAGGAUUAGAUA